UUUUAAAUCCAAGAAAUAUAACAAACAAGAUACAGAAAAAGAGGGUACAGACCAGAGGCACAAAUCUGUUUAAAAAGUUGGCAUUUAAAUUAUCAACCAUAAGGCAUAAGAGGGUAAUUCAAUAUCAAACUUCAGAGUGAAAAAUCUGUUUGGAUCUUAAACCCAACUGCUCAACAGUAAACAAUAUGAAUGUACAUUAACUUCAGAAUCAGGCAAAACUAUAAAGAAUCUGCUUUGCUUUAGUAUUUAUCUCUUAGAAAGUAUGUAUCAUUUAUAAGACCAACUGAAAGAAAUGGUAAAAUCAUACUAUAAGCUGUUUACACUCAAGACUAUGGAUGAAAUGUGAAAAUAGUGAUUGUGUUGAAUAAAGUUAGAUCAUCUUCCAAUCCAGUUUUAUCUCAGAGAUCUUGUCUGUUGAUCUGGAGAUACAAGUUUAACACUGAAAUAUGUGUAGAUUGCU